GCGCCUGUAGCUCACUUGGAUAGAGUGCAACCCUCCGAAGGUUGAGGCAGCUGGUUCGAAUCCAGCCAGGCGCG
rnacentral:tRNA from 1 species